rnacentral:rRNA from 1 species
CAAUAGCGUAUAUUAAAGUUGUUGCAGUUAAAACGCUCGUAGUUGAAUUUUGGGCGUGGGGAGACGGUGCUCCCGCAAGGGGGUGACUGUGGACCUGGGCCUUUGUGUAGUGAAGACGGAUGCCCUUUGGUGGGUGUGCGUGGGAGCUACAGGUUUACUUUGAAAAAAUUAGAGUGUUUAAGGCAGGCAUUGCUUGAAUAGUUCAGCAUGGAAUAAUGGAAUAGGUCUUUGACUCUAUUUUGUUGGUUUCUAGAGUUGAGGAAAUGAUGAAUAGGGACAGUUGGGGGCAUUCGUAUUUCGUUGUCAGAGGUGAAAUUCUUGGAUUGACGAAAGACGAACUUGUGCGAAAGCAUUUGCCAAGGAUGUUUUCAUUAA